rnacentral:rRNA from 1 species
AGAAAUGGGAUUGUCUAAGCCAUGCGAGUCAUUGUAGUAAUACAAGGCAGACGGCUCAGUAACGCGUAGUCAACCUACCCUAUGGACGGGGAUAACCUCGGGAAACUGAGAAUAAUACCCGAUAGAACAUUAUGCCUGGAAUGGUUUAUGUUUCAAAUAAUUUAUUGCCGUAGGAUGGGACUGCGGCCUAUCAGUUUGUUGGUGAGGUAAUGGCCCACCAAGACUAUUACAGGUACGGGCUCUGAGAGGAGUAGCCCGGAGAUGGGUACUGAGACACGGACCCAGGCCCUAUGGGGCGCAGCAGGCGAGAAAACUUUGCAAUGUGCGAAAGCACGACAAGGUUAAUCCGAGUGGUUUCUGCUAAAGGAACCUUUUGUCAGUCCUAGAGACACUGAUGAAUAAGGGGUGGGCAAGUUCUGGUGUCAGCCGCCGCGGUAAAACCAGCACCUCAAGUGGUCAGGAUGAUUAUUGGGCCUAAAGCAUCCGUAGCCUGCUUUGUAAGUUUUCGGUUAAAUCCAUAUGCUCAACAUAUGGGCUGCCGGGAAUACUGCAAAGCUAGGGAGUGGGAGAGGUAGACGGUACUCGGUAGGAAGGGGUAAAAUCCUUUGAUCUAUUGAUGACCACCUGUGGCGAAGGCGGUCUACCAGAACACGUCCGACGGUGAGGGAUGAAAGCUGGGGGAGCAAACCGGAUUAGAUACCCGGGUAGUCCCAGCUGUAAACUAUGCAAACUCAGUGAUGCAUUGGCUUGUGGCCAAUGCAGUGCUGCAGGGAAGCCGUUAAGUUUGCCGCCUGGGAAGUACGUACGCAAGUAUGAAACUUAAAGGAAUUGGCGGGGGAGCACCACAAGGGGUGAAGCCUGCGGUUCAAUUGGAGUCAACGCCGGAAAUC